CUGCGGUGAAUACGUUCCCGGGCCUUGUACACACCGCCCGUCAAGCCAUGGAAGCUGGGGGUACCUGAAGUACGUAACCGCAAGGAGCGUGUUAGGGUAAAACCGGUAACUGGGGCU
rnacentral:rRNA from 1 species